GUGGUGAAGAUCUUUCGUGAAAAAUUGACUCUUCAUGAUGAGGUGUUCCUCCAUUGGCGUUCAAGAAUUCUACUUCUUUGAACACAUCUCCAAUGCAGGCACCCUUCUGAAGCUUUGCCAUGGCCGAUUUAAUGUGACGCAGCAACUGUUUUGCAUUUGUUCUCCGCGAGCCACGUAUAAUGCAAAAGCCAACAUUCAAAAUCUUCUCGACGUCAUCUCGAGAAUCAAUUGAUCCACAAAUUUUUAGAAGCUUCAUGACAUGUGAGACCAAUUCAGUCCUUGAAUCACAGCGCCGACAACAAUAUUCCGCAUCCAAGCCAACGCUUCCUCCAACUGUCCCAGCCAUAUAAGCUCGUAACGCACAGUCUAUAUGGGCUAUGUGUCCACAAAUGUAACCAUCAUCAGCUUUUGCUUCGCACCUAAUGUAACUAUACCCACCAUAAGCAGAACUAAUAGUUUUACAACAAAGAAUACAACAGCAAUCUCGGCAAAAACUAGGCUCACUGCAACAUAUGUCACAAAUCAUGGUCUCUGGACUAGGAUUCCCUGCUUCUAUUAAACUCGCACUCGCACACAAGCUAUUACCAGCCUUACACGUAAUGGUUCCUAAAUGAGAAUCAGAUUUCAUGACUGAAGAUGUGAGCUGAGCAUACCAGUCACCUUUUAAUAGUUUUGAGGGAAUCUUCCAACUAAAUGAGGCAAAGAAUUCAUUGAUAUCUGUGCUUGGAAACUCAGACCUGACAUAUUGUUCAACCGAAAGCCUACUUGCGAAAACACCUCGCUUUCCACGAAGACGGUUUGGAAGAUACAGAUAUCUAUCAAGAAAGUAGCCAGCAGAUGCAAUUCUUUUCCCCACCUUCCAGGCCCAUUUAUCACCUGGGUUCGGCCAAUCUGCAGGAGCAUAUGGUAAACCUUCGCCUGAAUCAUUGGCAGAAACAGGAUAAAGGUGAAGUUCACUUUUAUUGGUACUACGUGUAUCUCCAUUACAUUCAGCAGAACUGUCAACCUCCACAGGAUCCUCGUAGGAUGACAUGUAGCUAGAUGUUUCAAUUCUUCGUUUUCCGGCGACUGCUUGUGAUAUCUCAGCCACUUCUUCUCCUUUUUUCCGGCGACUACUUGUGAUAUCUCAACCACUUCUGCGUUUUCCGGCGAUUGCUUGCUAUGUCUCAGUCAGC
rnacentral:misc_RNA from 1 species